rnacentral:lncRNA from 10 species
GGGAAGCCUCGAGCUCCCAGCCCGCUGCACAGCCCGGCUCCGCUCCACAGUCCCCCACUGCCACCGGCCGGGGCGACACCGGGCGAGCUGGCGAGACCCGGCUCCAGGACCGAAUCGCGCCGACACUUGACGGCGCUCCCCGCCCCUCCCUGCCGCCGUCUCCGCCCCCGUCCGGUCGCAUUCCGGCGCCCGCCGCCGCCGCCGCCACCGCCGCCGAUCUGGGAGGCUUGUCCCUCGCCGCCCACCGUAGCCCCGGCGCUCGGCCGGUCGCCGUUUCCAAGAUGGCCGCGGCGCGCACGGCUCCUGCGGCGGGGUAGAGGCGGAGGCGGAGUCGAGUCACUCCCGCACUUCGGGGCUCCGGUGCCCCGCGCCAGGCUGCAGCUUACUGCCCGCCGCGGCCAUGCGGGGCUCCGUGCACGGAUGAGAGAAGCCGCUGCCGCGCUGGUCCCUCCUCCCGCCUUUGCCGUCACGCCUGCCGCCGCCAUGGAGGAGCCGCCGCCACCGCCGCCGCCGCCACCACCGCCACCGGAACCCGAGACCGAGUCAGAACCCGAGUGCUGCUUGGCGGCGAGGUGAGGCACAUUGGGAGAUUCAGCUUGCAAGAGUCCUGAAUCUGAUCUAGAAGACUUCUCCGAUGAAACAAAUACAGAGAAUCUUUAUGGUACCUCUCCCCCCAGCACACCUCGACAGAUGAAACGCAUGUCAACCAAACAUCAGAGGAAUAAUGUGGGGAGGCCAGCCAGUCGGUCUAAUUUGAAAGAAAAAAUGAAUGCACCAAAUCAGCCUCCACAUAAAGACACUGGAAAAACAGUGGAGAAUGUGGAAGAAUACAGCUAUAAGCAGG